UGCAGUCGAACGAGAAUCCGGGGCAACUCGGUAGUAAAGUGGCGAACGGGUGAGGAAUACAUGGGUAACCUGCCCUUGAAAGUGGAAUAACCUAUCGAAAGAUGGGCUAAUACCAUAUACGCUUCCUAGUUUACGGAUUGGGAAGGAAAGUCGUAUCGAGGAUACGGUGUUCAAGGAGGGGCUCAUGGCCUAUCAGCUUGUUGGUGGGGUAAUGGCCUACCAAGGCAACGACGGGUAGCUGGUCUGAGAGGAUGAUCAGCCACACUGGCACUGAGAUACGGGCCAGACUCCUACGGGAGGCAGCAGUGAGGAAUAUUGCGCAAUGGGCGAAAGCCUGACGCAGCGACGCCGCGUGGGGGAUGAAGGUUUUCGGAUUGUAAACCCCUUUCAGGAGGAAAGAUAAGGCAGGUUACUGCCCGGACGGUACCUCCAGAAGAAGCCACGGCUAACUUCGUGCCAGCAGCCGCGGUAAUACGAAGGUGGCGAGCGUUGUUCGGAUUUACUGGGCGUAAAGAGCGCGUAGGCGGUUAGGUAAGCCUCUUGU
rnacentral:rRNA from 1 species